rnacentral:lncRNA from 1 species
AUGCCAGCAAAUUUGGAAAACUCAGCAGUGGCCACAGGACUGGAAAAGUCAGUUUUCAUUCCAGUCCCAAAGGAAGGCAAUACCAAAGAAUGCUCAAACUACCGCACAAUUGCACUCAUCUCACAUGCUAGUAAAGUAAUGCUCAAAAUUCUCCAAGCCAGGCUUCAGCAAUACAUGACCCGUGAACUUCCAGAUGUUCAAGCUGGUUUAAGAAAAGGCAGAGGAACCAGAGAUCAAAUUGCCAACAUCCCCUGGAUCAUGGAAAAAGCAAGAGAGUUCCAGAAAAACAUCUAUUUCUGCUUUAUUGACUAUACCAAAGCCUUUGACUGUGUGGACCACAAUCAACUGUGGAAAAUUCUGAAAGAGAUGGGAAUACCAGACCACCAGACCUGCCUCCUGAGAAAUCUGUAUGCAGGUCAGGAAGCAACAGUUAGAACUGGACAUGGAACAAUAGACUGGUUCCAAAGAGGAAAAGGAGUAUGUCAAGGCUGUAUAUUGUCACCCUGCUUAUUUAAUUUAUAUGCAGAGUACAUCAUGAGAAACACUGGGCUGGAAGAAGCGCAAGCUGGAAUUAAGCUUGCUGGGAGAAAUAUCAAUAACCUCAGAUAUGCAGAUGACACCACCCUUAUGGCAGAAAGUGAAAAGGAACUAAAGAGCCUCUUGAUGAAAGUGAAAGAGGAGAGUGAAAAAGUUGGCUUAAAACUCAACAUUCAGAAAGCAAAGAUCAUGGCAUCUGAUUCCAUCACUUCAUGGCAAAUAGAUGGGGAAACAGUGGAAACAGUGGCAGACUUUAUUUUGGGGGGCUCCAAAAUCACUGCAGAUGGUGACUGCAGCCAUGAAAUUAAAAGAUGCUUACUCCUUGGAAGAAAAGUUAUGACCAACCUAGACAGCAUAUUAAAAAGCAGAGACAUUAUUUUGCCAACAAAGGUCAGUCUAGUCAUGGCAAUAGUUUUUCCAGUAGUCAUGUAUGGAUGUGAAAAUUGGACUAUAAAGAAAGCUGAGCACCGAAGAACUGAUGCUUUUGAACUGUGGUGUUGGAGAAGACUCUUGAGAGUCCCUUGA